UGGAAAGAGACAGCUGAAAAGUGUUCCUGAAGUCGGUAUGUUGGGUUCUUUGGUAAUGUAUUGAUUGUCAGAAUUAAUUUGAAAAAUGAAAAUCUGGGUUGUAGAGGCAUUAAGUGUAAAAAUAAAAAUACAUUCUGGUUCUAAGCCAUGUGGCAUGAGGUAUAAAGAGAGAGAAGCUUGUGGUUUAACAAUUAUCUGCCCUGAAAAUGUUGGAUGCUGGCCUCCUAUGCAGUGAGAAGCUGGAGACCAAGUUUGUGCUCUGCGAAGGAGAGAAUUUUCCCUUGGAGAAUUAUAUUCCACCUUGGUUUUCCUAGAUAAAUACUACAGCAUGUAGACUUCACAAACAGAGCAAAGGUGAACUUUUUUUCAGUACUUUCAUUCUGAGUAGUACAUUUUUUUUGAAAAGACUGCUUUUAAGAUUUUAGUUCUGGGAUCAGAACAGUAUACAACCUUAAUCAAAGGAGGUAUGUCUUCCAAUAUUUACAAUUUUUAUGAACCAUAACCUUUUUGUGAACGUUAGUGACAAGGUACAAUUGUAUUUUAAUGAGGACUUUGCUGAAGUUAAUUGUUACAGUUUGUUUCAGAUGUUUUUAUCUUUAUUAAAUCCAUCAAUUAACCUCGUUCAAAAACUCUCAUAUAUUUUGUAUGAUGCAGGAUAACAAUUGACUUAUGAUCAAGGAGUGACGUAAAUGACGCUUCGAUUUUAAAUUUUACUUUAUGUUCGCUUGGGUUGUUCACCCUGACUUUUGCAAUGAGAAGACCGUCUCAUAGGACAAUUCGGACAGGUGUGUGUGAAAUGACUGCCAUGUGGCGACAUUAACGGUGAAUGUGUAAGUUGUGAUUCAUUUUAAAGUUGCCUUCUAACAUACUAGUCGCAUUAUUGAGUUAUAGUUAUUUUAGAACUGAGUGCACGUGCCAUUGUUUUCAAAAACGUGUGUUUUGUGACACCUUAUUUAGUUGUGAUUAUAAAUUUGCGUGUCGUGUCUCCUGUAGCUAGGGCAGAACAGUUUGCUUCAGAUAUUUAGUGAAUGGUGCUGUAAGCCAUGAAGGUCAUCAUGCCGAUUGCUUUAGUUUUCGCUGCUGGAGUUCAGUGUAACAUUCGACUCGGCUCAUGAGCGAAAUAUCUGGGCAAAACACAAAACAUUACAGAAAUGAAACAGGUAAUUAGCGAAAGAGGCAAAGAACGUUAUCUGGAGAGUUACUGCUAUUAAAAUUAAUCAUCGCAACCACGUCUACGCAAAUUACUGACGAGGAAUGAUAAAUCCUCAUGUGGCGUGGAUGCUGGAGUUGAGAUGAAUCAAGUACGAACCCUUCAUAAUGUCUCUGUGGAAAUCACUGCGUAUUUGCUGGAACCUCCGUUCUGUCAUUCGUCUGUCCUCUUACCCUGAAGGAGCGCCUUGGACAAUCGCCUUUCGUAUGCAUUCAAAUAACAAGAAAAUUACUAACCUUAUUUAAAAAUGAGCAGAGUUUGCACUGCAGGAUAUAAAAAAACAAAUAAAGAAAAAAAAAUAACUUUCUUUACAAAUGUGACAACUUUGUUAUUUUAUAUUUCAGAGCCGCGGUAAGAAAACACAUUAGUCACCGUGUAUACAAUGCAACUUGUUAGUCCACAGAAUGCUCUUUCAGGAUUAGGGCCCAAAUAUCUCGCACGAUGCAAAUAGAAUGACGAAGAUAAGAUAUAGAGAAAAAUUGUACUAAAAUACAUUAGCAUUCAUUUAUGUCACUUUUAACACUUUAUAUUGAAUACAAGAUUAUUAAACUACGCUUGUUAAACCCCCCCCCUACUUAGACAUACAUUAUAAUCUUACAGUACACAAUUAUCUGUGACCAAAAAAAAAAACUCUCGAAAUUCACUAAUACAUUCAGAAACACGAUAGAAUUUUAAAUUCAAUAGUGAAUUAUCGACCUGAAUAUCCGACCUCAAAGAUUUAAAAUCGUAUAAUAUAAAUUGGUCACUUUGAAACGCAUUUAAUAGGAUGGUAGGUCAUUAAGAUUAUUUCUGCUUCAGCAUUAAGAUUUUUUAAGAAGGAAACUGACUUUGAAUUAUCUUUGCAUCUUAGUUGUUACUGCAGUUACACUUUGUAGACUUUUAACUGAACAACUGAUUGCAGACCGAGUUGAUGACGUCAUGUUGCUGUAGUUUGUAAUCUUCACCACAAGAUGUUAGUGUUAAUGAUACCAAACAUUAGAUGGAUAGGCCAUGCGAAACAUGAAAAUUACAUACAAAAUAUUAGCUAGAAAACUUGUAAGUAAAGCGCCAUUGAUUGGAAGUCCUAAUCUUAAAUAGGAGAAUAAUAUUAAAGCAAAUCUUGCAGUAGAAGGCUAGGUGAAAAAUUCUAUUUUCAAGAAGAAUUCUUACUCAGGGCAGUUACGUAUUUAAUUAACAUUUAUGAACACUUAUCAGCAAUUCUUAGCCAUCGUAAAUGGAAGUACCUGUUCUCAGAUAUGUUUUCAAGAAACUUUAGGAAUUUAACAAUUAAAAUGAGUAAAGAAUCGCUGACUUGUAGUUGAUUUUAAAAAGAAUUACAGAGAG